rnacentral:rRNA from 1 species
AUUGAACGCUGGCGGCAGGCUUAACACAUGCAAGUCGAGCGGGGUGAUGGUGCUUGCACUAUCACUUAGCGGCGGACGGGUGAGUAAUGCUUAGGAAUCUGCCUAUUACUGGGGGACAACAUCUCGAAAGGGAUGCUAAUACCGCAUACGUCCUACGGGAGAAAGCAGGGGAUCACUUGUGACCUUGCGCUAAUAGAUGAGCCUAAGUCGGAUUAGCUAGUUGGUGGGGUAAAGGCCUACCAAGGCGACGAUCUGUAGCGGGUCUGAGAGGAUGAUCCGCCACACUGGGACUGAGACACGGCCCAGACUCCUACGGGAGGCAGCAGUGGGGAAUAUUGGACAAUGGGGGAAACCCUGAUCCAGCCAUGCCGCGUGUGUGAAGAAGGCCUUAUGGUUGUAAAGCACUUUUGUCCGGAAAGAAAUGGCUCUGGUUAAUACCUGGGGUCGAUGACGGUACCGGAAGAAUAAGGACCGGCUAACUACGUGCCAGCCGCCGCAGUAA